rnacentral:rRNA from 1 species
AACGAACGCUGGCGGCAUGCCUAACACAUGCAAGUCGAACGAGACCUUCGGGUCUAGUGGCGCACGGGUGCGUAACGCGUGGGAACCUGCCCUUAGGUUCGGAAUAACUCCCCGAAAGGGGUGCUAAUACCGGAUAAUGUCUUCGGACCAAAGAUUUAUCGCCUUUGGAUGGGCCCGCGUUGGAUUAGCUUGUUGGUAGGGUAAAAGCCUACCAAGGCUACGAUACAUAGCUGGUUUGAGAGGAUGAUCAGCCACACUGGGACUGAGACACGGCCCAGAAUACUACGGGAGGCAGGAGUGGGGAAUAUUGGAAAAUGGGGGAAAGCAUGAACCAGCAAUGACGGGUGAGUGAUGAAGGCCUUAGGGUAGUAAAGCAAUUUUACACGGGAUGAUAAUGACAGUACCGGGAGAAUAAGCACCGGCUAACUACGUG